rnacentral:rRNA from 1 species
UUCCUACGGGGGGCAGCAGUGAGGAAUAUUGGUCAAUGGCCGCAGGGCUGAACCAGCCAAGUCGCGUGAGGGAAUAAGGCCCUACGGGUCGUAAACCUCUUUUGCCGGGGAGCAAGGGCGGGGACGUGUCCCGGCCCGGAGAGUACCCGGAGAAAAAGCAUCGGCUAACUCCGUGCCAGCAGCCGCGGUAAUACGGAGGAUGCGAGCGUUCUCCGGAUUUAUUGGGUUUAAAGGGUGCGUAGGCGGAAGGUUAAGUCAGCGGU